rnacentral:rRNA from 1 species
GAUAAACGCUGGCGGCGCACAUAAGACAUGCAAGUCGAACGGACUUAACUCAUUCUUAUAGAUUGAGAGCGGUUAGUGGCGGACUGGUGAGUAACACGUAAGCAACCUGCCUAUCAGAGGGGAAUAACAGUGAGAAAUCACUGCUAAUACCGCAUAAGCUAGUAAUAUCGCAUGAUAUAGCUAGAAAAGGAGUAAUCCGCUGAUAGAUGGGCUUGCGCCUGAUUAGCUAGUUGGUAAGGUAAUGGCUUACCAAGGCGACGAUCAGUAGCCGGACUGAGAGGUUGAACGGCCACAUUGGGACUGAGAUACGGCCCAG